GGGAUCAAGAAGGUGUUGAAAUCGGUUUCCUGUGGGAGCGGUGGGCACAGCUAACGCAACUGUGAACAGACACGUCACACAAUCACCUGCUGCUGGCCCUUGGCCUGGGUCUGCCUUUGCCCGCCCCGCCCUCCGCCACAGCUGUGUGGUGGCCCUUAGAAUAGAUGGGAAGGCUUCAGGUAGCAGUUAUGGGACUGACUACUGCUGGGCUUGGGGCGCUUUGGCUGCACCCCUGCUUCUUAAGUCUUAAGUGAUGCCCCAUCCAAGCCAUGGUCCCCACUCCUCCACUCCCACCCUUGGCCAAAGCUUAGAUUGUAACCCUCCCCUCCCUCUGAAAUUGGCCGCGGGUGAGGAAUUCAGGGCUUCCCGUGUCCCCACCUUUAUCAAGGGGUGCUGCUUCCCCUCCUCAACUCCCCUGUUGCCCAUCACCACCCAACACUUGCUGUGGCCAGAAGCCAUCAGAUGAGGUUGGAAUUGCCUGGCCUCCCUCACUUAGCUCCGGACCACACUCACCUGCCACCAGCCUGGGAAGGGAGCGCCGGGUCCUCAGCCCUGCUGCCACCGUCAGCCCUCGAGCUUUGUGCUCAGGUCUAAGGUAAACAGCAGUCACAGGGCGACUCGGACCGGCCAGCGCUCAGGGUCCUUGGUGAAAAGAUGCCUAGAGAAAGGCCAUGCGGAGUCCUCAGUGCACACGGUUCUGAGUUGGUUCCUUUUCCCAUCAUUGCUUUGCUUUUACACAUUGAAGAGGUUUGAACAGGGCUCUCGUCACCCUGGCCACCCAUCGGGUCUGAUGUGGAGCCUGACAGCUGGAGCACGAGGCCCUGACCCUGCAGACUCAGGUUUCAGUGUUGCUCCUCAGACCCUCUGCAGGGACCAGGAGGAGCUCUGUGUCCCCAUGUUUGCAGAUCAUCUGCAGAUCCGUGGGCCUGGCCUCCUGGCUCACUGCCACGCUCCCCACUCUGUUCAGGACCACUAAAUGUUGAAAUGUGGAUGCAUACCGAAAUAAAGGCAAUCCGUUGUGUUGCAGAA
rnacentral:lncRNA from 1 species